UACGGGGGGGGCAAGCGUUGUUCGGAAUUACUGGGCGUAAAGGGCUCGUAGGCGGCCAAAUAAGUCGGAUGUGAAAUCCCCCAGGCUUAACCUGGGAACUGCAUCCGAUACUGGAUGGCUUGAAUCCGGGAGAGGGAUGCAGAAUUCCAGGUGUAGCGGUGAAAUGCGUAGAUAUCUGGAGGAAUACCGGUGGCGAAGGCGGCAUCCUGGACCGGCAUUGACGCUGAUGAGCGAAAAGCUAGGGGAGCAAACGGGG
rnacentral:rRNA from 1 species